CGGAGCGGGGCUGAGUGCAGGGCUUUGUUCCUCCCUCCACCCUCAGACUCCCCAAAUCGCUAGAUCGCUUCCCUUCCUGCUCGGGCCUGGGAAAUCACUUAUAUUUGCUCAGGGAAUUAAGACUCGCCGAAUCCGCCGCUUACGUCAUCCCAUCGAAUCUUUAAUUUCUUUUUGCAGACGAGGACACAGCCUUGACAAGGUUCUCACUGAAUUUCCCCUGCUAUCCUUGAGCUUGUUAUCCUCCUGCCUCAGCCUCAUGGUAUUACAGCAGGUCUUGAAGAAUCUGCAGGACACAUUUACUAACCAUUGCUUCAGGCCAUACCUGUGAGGAGCAAUAGAGCCCGUUGGGUCUCC